rnacentral:lncRNA from 1 species
UUAAUUAGCAUACCUAUCGAUGUUUAUCUAUAGAUCUCAAAAUGCUCCACAGUGGUGAGUAAGCAUCUGUAGAUGGGGGAAACUGAGGCACAGAAGUAAGGUGAGUUGCUAAAGUUUUCAUACUGAGCAUCAAGAGCCAGAACAGAAUCCAGGUAUCUUGAUACCUAGCCAGGAGCUCCAUCCACUGGACUAUACUGUCACUAUGAGGAAAUAUGUAUAUUUCAGUCAGUGAGCUUCGGAUACUCAAAGAUCGCAGGAUUUUGUCAUAGGUGCACUGAGAGAGAGAAACGCCCAAGGACAAAGUCUCUGCAAUUUAGCAUAUGCUUACAGCCAGCUGAAAAACUAUGACAUGGCAGAGUAUUACUAUCAAGAGGCAAUUAAUGCAUUUGUGGAUGUGGGUGAUUUAUAUGGCCAGCAACAAGUCUGUGAAGGAUUGGGUGCUACUAGUUUCUGCCUAGAUGACUCAGAUCAGGCCAUCUCUUAUUAUAAACAAGCUCUGACUCUGUUUGGAAAGUCAAAGGAAACAUCUGAUCUCUCCAGAGAAAGGGUUUUAGGGAAACUGAGGGUGCUGUUAAGUAUCAAACCAGUCAUCAGUGUCCUGUUUCAUGCAGAGAUAGCUUUUCAAACACAACAGCAGCUCAAUCUUCUCCCAAAGUUGCCAGAUAUGACCAUGGUUCUUUGGCAUCUGAACAAGAAACAUAUCUAUAUGAUGACCCACAGAACGAGUAUUCUGGUAACGAAAAGAAACAGAGAGAUGGAUGUACUGAAAGGAGUGUCACUUCCAGAACAGAUUCAAUGUCAUCUCACCUUAUUCCACAGUAACAAAGGUGCUGGCAGGUACUGUAGAUAUAGUUUUAAAAUGUUCCAUUUAUUUUAUAUUUAGGGUACAAACCCUCGGCUUUCUGAUGCCUCAAGUCUGAGCCUCUGAUAGGUCAGUUUUACAGAGUAGGACACAGUUUGAAAUAUCCAGACCUUGUAUUCAUGCAAUUUUCCUUUGUAGAAAAACUGACCCUGGAGGAGAGAGGGAAAAAGAACAGGAGGAUGACUCCAUUUCUGGGCACAUGAAUGUAGAAUCACAGAUGUGGGCCAGAGUCUUCAUUUCCUUACGUGUAUGUGCAUCUGGAGGAACACCACUGAAGUCAGUGGAGAUACACCAUUGUGAGAGCAGGAGAUGUAAGAGCAGACUCUGGCAACAUGGAGGCAGCACAUGCCAUUACACAUACACAGACUUUUUUUAAAUCCUGUGGUAGAACAAAGGUUGUAAUAACCAAGAAAUGAUAAAACAUUAUGAAUCUAAGACAACACUGAACAUUAGAUUAAAAUAUAGGUAGGAUUCAAUGUUUAUCUUUAGGAACAUUAUAUUAGAUUGGUUUAAUAUCAAAGACAUUUACCCUGAAAUCAUUGAGGACAAUAGGGUUUUGCUAUUGACUUUGAUGGCAGCCCAAUUAGGCCCAAGCAAAGUGCAUUUAAA